GACAACACAAAAUACACACUAAAUGCUGUUUUUCAAUAUUUCUUUUUGGCUAAAUGAAGAAAUAAAGACAAUAUGAUGAAGCCAGAUGUCCCCCACUGGAGAGCUCUCAAGUGAGCUUCCAGCAUCCCAGCCCGGGCAAGGACAAAGCGAUCAGCUACGAUGAUUUGAGAAGGGGCUGACAUCAUCAUGUUCUUCUUCUGCCAGCAAAGCCCAGGGUCCUAUCUGCAUUGUCUAAUUCAGCGGCAUGUUCACAGAAUUAAGAAGGAUGCUCGAGGCCUGAGACAAUGUGGAGGGAUGGUGGACUAUGGAAUUAUACUAACAAGUUGCAAAUAAUGCACAGAUCAGAAGUCCCAUGCCAGCACACCAGGAGACACUUGAAGUCAGUCACAAAGAUUCCUCUUGAUGUGAAUGACACCCACCCUGUUACCCAAGGGACAGGUGAUACCACAAGAAUCGUACUUGUCCCGGUCUUCAACGAGAUCACAGCAUCUUUGGAGAAAGCAGAUUUGUAAGAACUAUCCACGAUCAGGCCUGCCAUCGGGAGGCUAAUGAGGAGGCUGGGGGAGACCUGGGAGCAGGGAUGAGCACCCAGGAGUGGCUCUGUAUCAACAACCAGAUAUCCCGAGUUUCUGAGGAUGCUCUGUGUCUUGCAUUAAUGAAAUGCUAAGUCUUGUGCUGAAAGUAAAAUAUCUAACAGAA
rnacentral:lncRNA from 12 species